rnacentral:lncRNA from 1 species
CAGGAAGAUUUCUUUAUUGCUGUGACGAUCGUGAUCAUGAUGUAUGUCUCUCUAUCUCUACUGUUCCAAGCAAACCUUUUAUAUUCUAACACACGUAUUCAGUACAUUUCUACUAACAAUCAUUGGCUAGAAAGCAAGCAAAUUCCGUAACAAGUCUUCGUAAACAGCAAAGAGUUUAUCUUAUGCCUAGGUACAAAACACCCCUGUUUAUUCAGGCCUUGUCUCCUUUCCUGAGCCUCAUUACCAGCGAGUCGACCUUCAACGAGGCCGAGCUGACCUCUCCAUCUCCCACAGAAUACCGUUGGCAUCCCAGGCUGCAAGCACACACUACUGGCUCAUGAUCAGUUUCUCAUCUACCAGGACCCCUAAGUCCUCCUCUGCAGGGAUAUUCUCUAAGAGUUAUUCUCCUGGUCUGUCCUCAUAUCAGGGAUUGCCCCGACACAGGUGCAACACUGCAAGCCAGCCACUGUGAUGAUAACAGGGAAGAACAACAAGUGUAAGAGCUGCAGGUGCAUAAGCAGGUGUUUGAAAGCGCGUGGCUCAGUUUUCUUUUUCACUGAGAGGAUGAUGUGGCACUGGAACAGGCUGCCCAGAGAAGUUGUGAAUGCUGCAUCCCCGGAGGUGUUCAAGGCCAGGUUGGAUGGGGCCCUGGGCUACUUGGUCUAGGACUUGACCUAGAGAUUGGCAACUCCAAGUGUGACGGGGGAGAUGGCACUUACUGAUUCUUGAGGUCCCUUCCAACCCAAG